AGUGAGCGCUGGCGGCAGGCCUAACACAUGCAAGUCGAGCGGCAGCGGGUUCCCGCGAGGGGAUGCCGGCGAGCGGCGGACGGGUGAGGAACACAUCGGAAUCUGCCUGGUUGUGGGGGAUAACGUAGGGAAACUUACGCUAAUACCGCAUGCGACCCUGAGUCGACGGACUGGGGGUGAAAGUGAGGGACCUUCGGGCCUCACGCGACCAGAUGAGCCGAUGUCGGAUAGCUAGUUGGCGGGGUAACGGCCCGCCAAGGCGACGAUCCGUAGCUGGUCUGAGAGGAUGAUCAGCCACAC
rnacentral:rRNA from 1 species